rnacentral:rRNA from 1 species
GAUGAACGCUGGCGGCGUGCCUAAUACAUGCAAGUCGAGCGAACAGAUGAGGAGCUUGCUCCUCUGACGUUAGCGGCGGACGGGUGAGUAACACGUGGAUAACCUACCUAUAAGACUGGGAUAACUUCGGGAAACCGCAGCUAAUACCGGAUAAUAUAUUGAACCGCAUGGUUCAAUAGUUCAAGACGGUUUUGCUGUCACUUAUAGAUGGAUCCGCGCCGCAUUAGCUAGUUGGUAAGGUAACGGCUUACCAAGGCAACGAUGCGUAGCCGACCUGAGAGGGUGAUCGGCCACACUGGAACUGAGACACGGUCCAGACUCCUACGGGAGGCAGCAGUAGGGAAUCUUCCGCAAUGGGCGAAAGCCUGACGGAGCAACGCCGCGUGAGUGAUGAAGGUCUUCGGAUCGUAAAACUCUGUUAUUAGGGAAGAACAAAUGUGUAAGUAACUAUGCACGUCUUGACGGUACCUAAUCAGAAAGCCACGGCUAACUACGUG